GUGGGGAAUAUUGGACAAUGGGCGCAAGCCUGAUCCAGCCAUGCCGCGUGAGUGAUGAAGGCCUUAGGGUUGUAAAGCUCUUUCAGUAGGGAAGAUAAUGACGGUACCUACAGAAGAAGCCCCGGCUAACUUCGUGCCAGCAGCCGCGGUAAUACGAAGGGGGCUAGCGUUGUUCGGAUUUACUGGGCGUAAAGCGCACGUAGGCGGAUUGGUCAGUUAGAGGUGAAAUCCCGAAGCUCAACUUCGGAACUGCCUUUAAUACUGCCAGUCUCGAGUCCGGAAGAGGUGAGGGGAACUCCUAGUGUAGAGGUGGAAUUCGUAGAUAUUAGGAAGAACACCAGUGGCGAAGGCGGCUCACUGGUCCGGUACUGACGCUGAGGUGCGAAAGCGUGGGGAGCAAACAGGAUUAGAAACCCUAGUAGUCC
rnacentral:rRNA from 1 species